AUAUUUUAAAAAUUCCAAAAAAACUCGUAAUUUUGUCCCACACUUACACAAUCCUAACCCUAAGUUUUUCGUUAAGCUCUCGCCGAUCCACCGCACGGUCCCAUCUCACUGUGUCUCCUCCGUUCGGCAUCCCUCGUGUGCUCGUCUUCCCUCUUGCAAAUUUUUGUUUCUUUAUAAAAGGAAAAGGGACUUUAUGUAUUUAAAGGAUUCUCGCCCCUAUGCAGUGACCUGAUGGAACCCUCGGAAAAUCCAGUCGCAUCAGAGUUGGCUAUACUCCUCAAGAAGAAGUCAUUAUUUAUCAACCCAAAGCUGCUCUGUUGAAGAAAGAGAUGGCAUCACACAGUGGACCUCCAGUUUAUGAUCCUACAUUAGAUGAUUCAAAAUCAAAGACGAAAUCGAUAAAGAGGAACGAAAGGAAAAAGGAAAAGUGACUUCAGGCUACCCGUGAAAAAGAAAAGAAAAGCUAAAUUAUUUUUUAUUUUAAUCUUGAUACAUAUACUCUAUUACUUUAUCAUUGAUAGAAAGGAAUAGUUUGGUUUUUUAUCA